GGGUAUAUUUCUUCGGAGAUAGAGACCGGCGCACGGGUUCCUAACGCGUAUGCAAUCUACCUUUUACAGAGGGAUAGCCCAGAGAAAUUUGGAUUAAUACCUCAUAGUAUAUCACAAUCGCAUGAUUGAGUUAUUAAAGUCACAACGGUAAAAGAUGAGCAUGCGUCCCAUUAGCUAGUUGGUAAGGUAACGGCUUACCAAGGCUACGAUGGGUAGGGGUCCUGAGAGGGAGAUCCCCCACACUGGUACUGAGACACGGACCAGACUCCUACGGGAGGCAGCAGUGAGGAAUAUUGGACAAUGGGCGCAAGCCUGAUCCAGCCAUGCCGCGUGCAGGAUGACGGUCCUAUGGAUUGUAAACUGCUUUUAUACGAGAAGAAACACUCCUUCGUGAAGGAGCUUGACGGUAUCGUAAGAAUAAGGAUCGGCUAACUCCGUGCCAGCAGCCGCGGUAAUACGGAGGAUCCAAGCGUUAUC
rnacentral:rRNA from 1 species